rnacentral:rRNA from 1 species
AGGGAUCAUUACCGAGUUUACAACUCCCAAACCCCUGUGAACAUACCUUAUGUUGCCUCGGCGGAUCAGCCCGCGCCCCGUAAAAAGGGACGGCCCGCCGCAGGAACCCUAAACUCUGUUUUUAGUGGAACUUCUGAGUAUAAAAAACAAAUAAAUCAAAACUUUCAACAACGGAUCUCUUGGUUCUGGCAUCGAUGAAGAACGCAGCAAAAUGCGAUAAGUAAUGUGAAUUGCAGAAUUCAGUGAAUCAUCGAAUCUUUGAACGCACAUUGCGCCCGCCAGUAUUCUGGCGGGCAUGCCUGUUCGAGCGUCAUUUCAACCCUCAAGCCCAGCUUGGUGUUGGGAGCUGCAGUCCUGCUGCACUCCCCAAAUACAUUGGCGGUCACGUCGAGCUUCCAUAGCGUAGUAAUUUACACAUCGUUACUGGUAAUCGUCGCGGCCACGCCGUUAAACCCCAACUUCUGAAUGUUGACCUCGGAUCAGGUAGGAAUACCCGCUGAACUUAAGCAUAUCAAU